AAUGAGGGAACGAGGGCAUGGAGGGACAGGCGUGCCUUCCCAGGGCAUGGGAGGCCAACGUGGAGCCUGAGAGCAGCCGGGGGGCAGGCUCGCCCCCACUGCUGAUGAUGCGAUGGCCGCUUCCGGCACUGCGCUCCCUUCCUGGCGCUGCUGGAGCGAGUGACCACAGACCUAGAGGCCUAAAGGACACAGGUGGGCUCUCACCGUCGGCAGGUCAGAAGUGGGUCUCACUGGGUCGGGUCAGGGUGUCGCAGGGCUGGUUCCCUCUGGAGGCGCCAGAGGAGAAUCGUUCCUGUGCCUUUUCCAGCUUCUCGAGGCGCCCACUCCCUUGGCUGGUGGGCCCAUGUCACUCUACUUCUGUCGUCACAUCUCCUCCUGUGACUCUGACCUCCUGCCUCCCUCUUAGAAGGCCCUUGUCGUUGCAUGGGACCCACCCGGAGAAUCCAGGUCCAUCUCCUGUCUCAAGAUGCAGCCAUUCAUUACACGCCAUUCAUCAUAUCACGGGCACCUUGGCCAGGCUGGCAAGCCCAUUGCCACCGUGGUCUCGGGGAUGCUCACAGCCACCAAGCAGGCAGGGGUUUCCCGGGUGAAACCAGGGCUCAGAGAGGGGGCGUGCCUUUCCCGGGUCCCACAGCCAGGAUCUGGAGGGACGGUGCCCACCUGGCCCUGGUGCUCCCUCUCCCUCCAUGGAAUGGCCCCGCCUCGCCGCAUGGCACCAGCAGGGCGCUUCACCUUCCUAGCAGAGGGCCUCCCAGGAAAGACAGGGCCAGGCCAGAUACCAGACACCCACGGGGCCCUUAGUCCAAACUGGCACCUUGGAAAGGCACAGCAGCACUGGGAAACUCACACUCCUCUUCCCCGUCACCCGGCGUUGAGAACAAAGUGCCUUUGAGCUCCCGGGGGUCCUCUGAGGAGCCCCCAGGGAAGACAGUGUCUCUGUGACAACCGGCCUCACAGGGGCUGCAGCGGAGUCGCGGGGUGAACCCAUGUGUCGAGCAGAGAAGAGCCAGAAGCCCCUCUGGCACUGCGCACCGGGGAAGCAGCGGCCUGCUCCAGAAGAGGCGUGCAGCCUUGUUUAUUUUCAUUUUUGCAAUUGAAAAUGCUCACUUCCUAGGCCCCUCCAUGCGGGGUGGCUGUUCCUUUAAAGAGAAAAGGAAGUGUGGUCCUGGCAGAGUGAACCGGAGCAAUAAAAAAUAAAUCUCGGUAAUUGUUGUGGAGACAGAAAGCAAAACAAACCGGACUUAAGUACAUCAUAAGAAGAUGUCAGCGUCGGAGGCCCAGCCAUUAGCCUGCGAAAUCCCUUCUCUCCCCGGAGGACCCGCUGGAUGGGGCCCAGCCCGUUGGAUUUUCCGCAUUCCUCCUUCAGGGGUUCCUGGAACGUCAGACCACGGCCUUGCCUUCUUCUCCUGAAAAGGACGGGCAGCUUCGAAGAUGGUGAAGGAGAAACGUCAGCGUGGUGCCCGGAGGAAGGCGGCCGACGACGAGCCGCCAGCUCCAAGGGGCUUCUCAGAUGCUGGGCCCUGCAGACAGGGCCUGACCGGGGCCAGGGAGGGUCUGCAAAACGCCCCCUGGACGCCUCUGGGACAGCAGCUCCACUCCGAUGUCGCCGAAGGGAGUGCCCCACCUCACGUCCGCAACAGGCACAUAAAACGGGGUAGCCUCUGCUCCAGGGUCAGCUCACCUGCCUCGUCAGAGUAGGAACCACCCUCCCUGUCUCCGCCACUGGCCACCAAAACAAACUUCAGAGUUGCGAGGGGGUGUCCGAGAGGACCUGGGCUUGAGAACGGGAGGCCCCAAGCCGAGGUGGCGUUCUUGGAGCGCAUUCUGGGUGCUGACUCCCGAGACAGCCCUGGUUUGCUGGGGUGGGUCCCUGUUCAUGUCGGAGCCUGUCACUUUCAAAAGGUUCUGUUCAGGGUGGUUGUGUGCCCAUUUCCCAGAGGAGGAAGCUGAGGCUCAGAGAGUCACAGAAGUGGCCCAGAUCAUAAGAGGGGCCAAGCUGGGAUCUAAACCCAGGCCUGAUUGAGUCCCCCAAGAGAGCUUUUACUCCGAGUCACCUCCUAACACAUCAGGCGAUCCUGAGAUCCUGUGUAGGGGCCCGCAAGGCACAGACGUGGCUGUUCGGCUUGAGUUUCCGUGUCCAGCACGGUAACGAUAGAUCAGACUUGCAUUUGGGGGGAGACCUCAUUUCUAUCCUGACCUUUCUGCCGAAUUUAAGACCCAAAGAUAAACCCCUUGCUUAACUUUCAAAGGUCUAAAUCGUUUCCCCAUCAGCACCUCUGGCAGCAGAGGUUUCUCUUUCAGGCUGUGGUUUGCAGGUUGGAGCGUCCCGGAGCUGGAGGGCGAGCAGUAAUCAGCUUUAUCCUUGGGUCCUCCAUGGAGAAAUGGAAAAGAGAUUUCCCUCUCCUUCCAUCUGAAAACGCCUUCUGGGCCCCUUUUUGUCUCCGGCGCCUUCUGCCCGUGGCUCCGGUUGGGAAGGCACCAGAGGGGAUAUGCUGGGCUUCUCCCAGGACACCAGAAAUUUGGACGCUAAGUGCUGGGAGCAGGGAGCCAGGCCUCUCAGCCUCGAGCUGAAGCAAGGCCCGUGAACUGGCCGGGAGUGCCACGUGGCGGGGCAUCAGCGGCUUCGCGGACUCGACGCAGCUGUGAGAGUGAGGCAGGCACUGUGCUGGGGCGCUAAGGCCCCUCCCUCCCGCCGCCUCCUCUGCACGAGGGGGCUUUGUGCUUCCUUAUCGGGGCACGAAGUCAUCUCAUCUGUUGUACACCGCCACCCCCGCCCUCCCGAGGGCUCCGCCUGACCCCACAGCAGGAGCAGCAUCUGACCCUCUCUCCACCCUGCCAGGGCCAAUCAGAGGCUCUCCUGGCUUGGGGAGGCCUCUGCCCUCCGUGGGGGCGUGGGGGGGCUGCUUUCGAACCUGUGAGAGGCAAUUAGAUAUUUUCCAGAUUGCAAAGGUGGCCUCCGUUUCUGUGAAAAGCUGCACAUCUUGCAGAAGGUCAAAGACCCCCACACGCCCACGCCAAGCCGGCAGCAAGGCUCACCCGGCAGCGGCCAUCAGCUGGCCAGGCCUGUGAGGCUUCCACGGCUCCACCCAGACAGUGGAGAGGGCAGGGGACAGCAGCUGUGCCUCAGCGUGGACCUGGUGCGGAGUGCGCCCUGCGUGGAGUCCUGACCUAGACCUUGGGCUCAUCAGAGGAAAGAACCCGGCACAUCCGUGGGAAUAGGAAGCACCGUGGCCAUGGCAGCCAGCAUGUCUUGUGCUGUCCUGAAAGUUGGACGCGUUUGGUCAUAAACCCCGGGAGGGGGCUGUUACUGGCCCGCUUCUUACAGAGGAGAGGCUGAGGAGGGCAGGGAGCCUGAGUCAUGGGCUCCACACAGGGCGAAGUGAAGUGCAGGCUGCACUCUGACCCCUGCCUCCUGGACUUCUGGGAAGGGGAGAAGGCUGGUGGCUUGGAAUGGACCAACCUGGAUUCAGUUCCCGGCCUGCUGGUUAUCAGAGUGGCAAGAGGUUAGGGGCUCUCAGAAGACGACCUGGUCUAACCCCGGAUACGGUGAUAGCAGCAUUUCCAUGGGAUCAUCUGGAGAUGCUAACAGAGAAGGAAAGGCCCCUCGUCAAGGUCACGCAGCUCCGGGGGGACGAAACCAGGGCACGCACGCAGGGCUCUCUCCUCUGCCUUAGGCAGGAAGGUGACGCGUCCCCUGUGGCCAGGGCCAUGGAAUCAGAACCGGUCCCGAGAAGGAGCCAGAAACCCAAGCAGUGGGACCCCUCGUGAACGCAGAGCUGAUUUCACACGGCUGCAGGUUCCCGGAGCCCCCCUCCUCCCCGUGUCCUUGGACUCCACGCUUCCCAGGGGCUGUCAGGACAGACGCAGACACCCUGGACCCCACCAGCCAGCUGUCUGGCGUUCCCAGCCCAGUGGGGAAAGGAAUUAGCACAAACCUCAGGAGAGAGCUGUUCUCAUGAAAUCCACCGCCUGGUCGGGCUGCUCAGAGUGGGAAGGGAAGUUCACAGCCUCUUAUCGGCUGACUCGCUGGCCCCGUCUCCAGCGCCUCUUCAGCCCCGGGAGAGAGGAUUUCGAGAAAAGCGGAGCUCCACGGUUUUUACCUGCAGCCCGUCAUCAUGCCCCUUGACCCCUGUGUGGGGGGUCAUGACCCCACUCUGCUCGAGGCGUCCCCGGCUCCCGGCUGCGGUGCCGAGGGGCGGGAGGCCGAGCGUCCGGUGCGUGUGACACUUAGCGCUGACCGGGACUGCAGGCGAGCUGUGCGGGAGACCAGCCGUGCCCUUUCUACGAGAUUGGGAGACCUUGGGGUUUCCCACAGGUCGAGUGUCCAUAAGGCGAUGGCUUCAAACAGUCUCAGACACACCCAGCAAGAAUGUCCGGGGCAGCGGAGGGUGCUCCCCGGCCCCAUGCUCCCUGGCCCGCUGUUAGCUGAGUUUGGGUGGGGCCUGGGCGCUCAGCGGGAAGGCUGCGUUUCCCAUCAGUCUCUCCUGGCAAGUGGGUGUGACCUGGGGACGAGGCUCCGCCGGCAGCCUAUGGGAGGAGCCGUGUGCGCCCUCCGGCCAGUCCUUGGAAACGGAAACACCUGCCUCCCCUUCCUCCCUCCCCACGGCCUCCUGAGGCGGGGGUUAGUGGGGCUGGUGAGGGUCUCACUCGGGGCAGGGAGGGGGGCAGAGUGGGAGGAGUCUGGGUCUACACGACCCCCCAGAGUUUGCUCUCCCGGCCCCCUGCCCACCUUGGUGGGUCCGUGGGAGAGGGAAGUGUCAUUCUAGCUUGUUGAGCCGCUAUGUUCUGUGUCCCUGUCUACAGCAGCAUGCUGCAGCCCUGACUCACGUGCCCAAGCUGCACACGUGCACACAUGCAUACUCACACAGACGCACACACGUGCACAACCGCAUAAAUGUCUCAGAGACGGAGCCCCUUCCUUCCACGUGGAAUGUGCACUGGUCUAUUCUGUUCUGCCCUGUUGUACUUUUCCCUUGAUGGACGUCUCACCUUCCUCUGACCUCGUGACCCACUAAUGGGUUACGACCUGCAGGACCAGGGCACCCGGAGACAGUGCACAAACUUUGGGCAAAGCACUUUGCAAAAAGAGGUGGGAGGAAGCCGCUCCCCUGGCAGUGAGGGCACAUGCAGAAGUGCAGGGGCAGCGGGGGCAGGCACUCCUGGGUCUCGGGUUGGUUCCUGGAGGGCUCCAUGGGGGUGGCCUCGUAACGGGACAGGCAGCGGCUUUGCACCGGCGGCAUUCUGGCAUCCUGAGCGCCACUCUCCUCCAGGCUGGCACCUUAUACGCUCGAGUUCAAGGGUGCGGGGUCACGAGGCCUUCCACCUCCGGGCACCUGGCACAGACCGCUGCUCUCUGCUUUCCAUUCUCUGGGAGUAUUUCCUUCUUGCUCAGGUCCGCUCCUGCCCUCCCCCACAGGUAGGCUAACUUCACAGGCACAGUGGCCUUGAAAGGUCGCAUGGCCCUGGGGAGUUGGGGCACUCUUCUGUCCUCAGCCUGCCCGCCUGUGAAGUGGGCACAGAGGCACCUGUCCAGAGGGGACCCACCUCCGGGGAGAAGAGGCCGCUGGCUGGUCUGCUUAAGCAUCUACUACGUGACAAGCGCUAAAGCAGGCCCUGGGCUCAGAGAGCAAACCAGAGCGUAGGGCACUGGUGAGGCAUCUGCCUGGUUUUCCCGUCGCGGUGUCACCUGUCACAAUGGCUUCUAUCAUCAUUGGGCCAGUGUUGGCUCCUUGAAGCUUUGGGGAGUAAGUCAUUAAAUAUCGGACCCUAUCCCACUUAGCACAAAGGGCGUAAGUAGAAGCAUUUUCGCAGCAAGAGUGGCCACCAUCGUGCAGAGAAGUCGGUGAAUGCAAAGGAUUUUUAGAGCUGGUUCCUUUCUGUUCUCAGCAUUUGACUCAGCAUAAGAGAAAAGCUCCCAGUUUCUGAUAUUAUCACAUGACAUUGGAGGAUAUUAGGUUAAGACAUG
rnacentral:lncRNA from 1 species